rnacentral:rRNA from 1 species
UACGGGGGGAGCAAGCGUUGUUCGGAUUUACUGGGCGUAAAGGGCGCGUAGGCGGCGCCGUAAGUCGGGUGUGAAAUCUCGGGGCUUAACUCCGAAACUGCAUUCGAUACUGCGGUGCUUGAGGACUGGAGAGGAGACUGGAAUUCAUGGUGUAGCAGUGAAAUGCGUAGAGAUCAUGAGGAAGACCAGUGGCGAAGGCGGGUCUCUGGACAGUUCCUGACACUGAUAAGCGAAAGCCAGGGGAGCAAACGGG